rnacentral:misc_RNA from 1 species
AAGUCGUAACAAGGUUUCCGUAGGUGAACCUGCGGAAGGAUCAUUAGAAAGUCAUGUUCGCCGUGGAGACGCGCGCGAACCUACCUUCAAACCACUGUGAAACCACUUGUUGCCUUCGCGGCACGUCCUCCGCCCCGCCGGGACGGCAAGGGCCGAUCAUCGUCCGCAAGCCAAAGCCCAAAAACCAAAACUUCUUUGUAACAGUCUGUCUGAGAAAAAACUGAAUUAAAUUCGUUAAA